CCCUUAGAUGUUCUGGGCCGCACGCGCGCUACACUGAUGCAGGCAACGAGUUUAUAACCUUGACCGGAAGGUCUGGGUAAUCUUUGGAAACUGCAUCGUGCUGGGGAUAGAUUAUUGCAAUUAUUAAUCUUCAACGAGGAAUUCCUAGUAAGCGUGAGUCAUCAGCUCGCGUUGAUUACGUCCCUGCCCUUUGUACACACCGCCCGUCGCUCCUACCGAUUGGAUGGUCCGGUGAAUAUUUCGGACUGCGAUUUGGACUUGGCAACAAGACCAGAUUGCGGAAAGUUGUGUAAACCUUAUCAUCUAGAGGAAGGAGAAGUCGUANCA
rnacentral:rRNA from 1 species